AACGCACCUUGCACCCUUUGGUCUUCCAAAGGGUACACCCGUUUGAGUGUCAUUGUAAUCUCACUACAAUCGACUUUAUUGUCUUUUGUUAUGUGGACUUGGAUGUUGCUGUUGAUUCAACAGCUCGUCUGAAAUGCCUCAGUGUACCCCGCUUUGCGGCGUAUUCGGUGUGAUACAUCUUCACCGGAGUUGAUCCCUUGUGGGUCGCGUCUUGUAAUGUGUGGCUCUAUGCUUCCAACCGUCUCUCUUGAGACAAUCUUCUGACAAUUUGACCUCAAAUCGGGUGGGACUACCCGCUGAACUUAA
rnacentral:misc_RNA from 1 species